GUUCUUGUAGUUGAAGUACAGCGACAGUUUUUCAGACUGUUGGUCUAGGUUAGAUUCCUGGCAGGAAUU
rnacentral:tRNA from 1 species